rnacentral:rRNA from 1 species
UACGAAGGGGGCUAGCGUUGCUCGGAAUGACUGGGCGUAAAGGGCGCGUAGGCGGCUUGCACCGUCGAAUGUGAAAUCCCGGGGCUCAACCCUGGAAUUGCAUUGAAUACUGGUGGACUAGAGUACUGGAGAGGAAACUGGAAUUUACGGUGUAGCAGUGAAAUGCGUAGAGAUCGUAAGGAAGACCAGUGGCGAAGGCGAGUUUCUGGACAGUAACUGACGCUGAGGCACGAAGGCCAGGGGAGCAAACGGG